AGCUGGUCCAAGGGCAGCGGUGUUUACAACUAACUGAUCACAACCAGUUACAGAUUUCUUUGUUCCUUUUCCAUUCCCUCUGCUUCGCCUGACGAGCCUAAA
rfam:Papio anubis isolate 1X1155 chromosome 2, whole genome shotgun sequence.